rnacentral:rRNA from 1 species
GUAGGGAAUCUUCCACAAUGGACGAAAGUCUGAUGGAGCAACGCCGCGUGAGUGAAGAAGGUCUUCGGAUCGUAAAACUCUGUUGUUAGAGAAGAACGUGCAUGAUAGUAACUGAUCAUGUAAUGACGGUAUCUAACCAGAAAGCCACGGCUAACUACGUGCCAGCAGCCGCGGUAAUACGUAGGUGGCAAGCGUUGUCCGGAUUUAUUGGGCGUAAAGGGAACGCAGGCGGUUUUUUAAGUCUGAUGUGAAAGCCUUCGGCUUAACCGAAGAAUAGCAUUGGAAACUGGAAGACUUGAGUGCAGAAGAGGAGAGUGGAAUUCCAUGUGUAGCGGUGAAAUGCGUAGAUAUUGGGAGGAACACCAGUGGCGAAGGCGCCUUUCUGGACUGUGUCUGACGCUGAGAUGCGAAAGCCAGGGUAGCGAACGGGAUUAGAAACCCCUGUAGUCC